GCGGAGGUUGCCCAGCCUGGUUAAAGGCGCAGGGCUCAGAAUCUCGUAGGAGUUCGCGAGUUCAAAUCUCGCCCUCCGCACCA
rnacentral:tRNA from 1 species